UUCAGCAUGUGCUGGGCACUGGAGACACAGGACGAAUCCGAUGCAGCCUCUAGGAGUUGGUAGUUAUUAGAAGCGAAGGACAGCAAGCUGGAGGAAAGGCGAAACUGGAGAGACGGAGACAGCUGGUUGGCAUAAGAGCAUCGGCCUGAGAAUGUCAGAACUGAGGAAGAUUUGGUAGUGUGCCAAAGUGCUGGUUAUCACAGAGUUUCAUCUCAGCACAAAACUGCCCAGCUAAAGGAUGGUGAACUGAGUCCAGAAAUGAUAUCUUUUUGUUUUCUGUUUAUUCCUGGUGUUCCUGAGUACAAGGACCAGAUAACCACGUCCUAAAUGUUCCACGGAAUGUGAAUGUGUGUAUCAGGAAAAAAAAGAAAAGAUUCCACAGUCUUUUCCUAGACUAGAAAAAAAGACUUCUAGUCUAGGAAAGGCUAGAAUCAGCAAAACACAAAGGUGUCUUUGCUGCUGGACUUCUCAGAGACUUGUACAUACCCAAGUGUACUGUGACACUUAGUGAGGAGGAUGGAGUGAGCAGCAUCUCCUAAGCUAUUGUGAUGACAGACACCAUCUGAUAGCUGGAGAAAUCUUCUCCAGAACAAAGCUUGGGACAUGCUUUCCCGGAUCGUGCAUUUGCUACAGGAGCGAGACAGACUGACGAUUCAGAAUGCUACCACCCGCAGGCUGCAAAGUCUUCAUGAUGACAGCUGCUGACAGAGCUACUUCAUGGAUUGAAUAUCAGCUAUGAGCUGGGUGCUUUACCAUAAGGAAACAGCUUUGCCAGGGAAGACAAAAGUUAAAGCAUCUUCAAGGAAAAGGCUUUCUGGUAAGGCAUUUGCUAAAUCAGGAAAGCUGCUUUACCAAAGGAUGGAGGCUGUGUGAGACUCACCCAGGGACCUGCCCUCAGUACCAGGACUGGCUAAUUUGCAGGAUCCAGUGCAAAAUAAACAUGUAGGCUCCCGUGUUUUAAUGUGACUAAGAAUUUCAAGAUAAUGACAGCAGAGCAUCAUAGCAAGCACGAGGUUCUCCUAACAACACAGAGGUUGCACCCCGUGAAGCCUACCAUAUGCAAAAAGUGCCUUCUGUAGGAGCCGCAGCCCUGGACCUCAUGGGAACCAAUCCGAUUGUGCCAAACAUCACCUCCUCCUCCCUUCCUUCAGUGUGCUGCUCCCAGACGGGCCUCCUCCCACUCUGCCUCAGCAGGAAGCUGGUUCUGCCGGCUCUCAAUGACUCAGCAGCUGAUUAAGCAACGUGCUGGGAGAUUACCCAGAGGCAGCAUGAAAUCGUGGCAGGAGAUUAGGAGUUCAAAUUCCGGCUUUUACUCCUUACCUCUCAACUACGUUGGGCGAUUUUAUGUCCAUUUUCUGUACCUUAGAAAGACCCUUUGGAAAAAGAGGUUGGAAAUAAUGCCUAGGCUGGAAACUGUGUGGUGCGAGCAGCCAGCAAACACAGUGACAAAUGAGUCCGCCUUUUGCAAGUGGGCCAGUUCCUCACAGGUAUAGGAUUUUUUAAUUUCCUCUCUUG
rnacentral:lncRNA from 1 species